rfam:Mus musculus chromosome 11 genomic contig, GRC reference assembly alternate locus group NOD/ShiLtJ.
GGAGUGAUAGCUCAGUGGUCAGGAGCACUGGCUGCUCUUCCAGAGGACCUGGGUUCAAUCCCCAGCACCA